AGUCAACAUGCCCAGGGGACGUGGAUAACCUCGGGAAACUGAGGAUAAACCGCGAUAGGCCAAGAUUUCUGGAAUGAAUCAUGGUUUAAAUCUAUAUGGCCCCUGGAUUGGACUGCGGCCGAUCAGGCUGUUGGUGAGGUAAUGGCCCACCAAACCUGUAACCGGUACGGGCUCUGAGAGGAGGAGCCCGGAGAUGGGCACUUAGACAAGGGCCCAGGCCCUAUGGGGCGCAGCAGGCGCGAAACCUCUGCAAUAAGCGAAAGCUUGACAGGGUUACUCUGAGUGAUUUCCGCUAAGGAAGUCUUUUGGCACCUCUAAAAAUGGUGCAGAAUAAGGGGUGGGCAAGUCUGGUGUCAGCCGCCGCGGUAAUACCAGCACCCCGAGUGGUCGGGACGAUUAUUGGGCCUAAAGCAUCCGUAGCCGGUCCUGCAAGUCCUCCGUUAAAUCCACCCGCUCAACGGUUGGGCCGCGGGGGAUACUACAGGGCUAGGAGGCGGGAGAGGCAAGCGGUACUCGAUGGGUAGGGGUAAAAUCCACUGAUCCAUUGAAGACCACCAGUGGCGAAGGCGGCUUGCCAGAACGCGCUCGACGGUGAGGGAUGAAAGCUGGGGGAGCAAACCGGAUU
rnacentral:rRNA from 1 species